ensembl:lncRNA
AUGGCAUAUGCAGGAACAGAAGCCUUCUCAGUGAUCCAGGACAACAUCAGGACGUGUGCGGUCCAGGGUUUUAGUGUUCCUAGCAAUAUGAUUUCCAGCUUGGUCUUGAAAUCGUCUGACCUGCAGUUUCCCUCCAGUCUCACUCCUCAGAGAGUCUCUGAGCUUGGCCCUUUUCUGCCCCUGCUGGGAUCCAGUGUCCUGCAGCAGCUGACCUCAGCCCAGCUCAUGCCUGCCCUCAGCACCCUCGCCUCUGUGCCUUUUACCCCUGCACAGGUACUGUGCGCACCAUUUUUGCCACACAUGCAUACUUUUGCAACACAAGGCAAAUAAUUUAACAAAAUCUGCAGGCCACAAAUAUUUCUUACCAGUCACGAUUCUAUUUUGCAUUAUUUAUUUUUUUAAAAUGUUUAUAUGUUCUUAUGACAGUGAGUUUUUCCCCCUACGUAUUUAUGACACAGCACAGACAGUCAUUGUGUCAUGGCAAGUCAUAGGCAAGGCAAUUUAUUUAAAUAGCACUUUAUUUCAUACACAGUGGUAAUACAAAGUGUUUCCCAAAAAAAAGAAUAUUUGAAAAAGAUAUAGUUACAUAAAGGUUAAAAGAAAUAACAAUAAAAAUCUGAAAAGUUGAAGAAAGAAGUAAAAA